AUGCCAGGACAGCAGGCCCUGGGAAGGGAGUUGUCUCCAGCCUUGACACGGCCCAGCGGUGUAGCCGCCGAGGGGAACUCAGCUCCCCGCAGUGUGCGGGGCACAGGGCGCCAACCAACCAGGGCCCGUGGCCCAGGGACACGCGGCUUGUCGGGGGGAGAACCUGGGCCCUCGCUCUCCCUUUCAGGGCGGGCACCGUGGACAGGCGAGGCCAGGCUGCCGGCUCCCAGGCAUGGCGGAGGCCACACCGCUCCGGCUGCCGCCCACCCAGCCACGCUUGAGGAGCGUUCAGCGGCCUCCACCCCGCCCGGGAGGACGGGGGACCGGGGACCUGGAAGGGCCUGGCCCUGGCUUCCCUGCAGCGCCCUCGGAGGCCGGACCAAUGUGCCAGAGCUGAGGGCCCAGGGCUGCGCGGGCGGCCCGGCAGCGUCCCCAAGGGCGACGCCCCACAAGUUUGCCUCCAGGGCCCAGCCAACCCCUAGGGGUGGGAAAGCGUCGGCCCAGCCAGCGGAUCCAGCAGGGCCGCCCCCUUCACCCGUGGCCCACAGGUCAACACUCCGCGUCCUCAUCUCGGGCUGGGACCGCCUUUGCGUCCGCCCUGAGCGGGACCGUGGGAUCCUGGGGAGCCCCGCCUCAGUGCCCCGAAGCCCCGGAAGAGCUACAGCUGCCGCUUCCGGUCAUGACCGGAAGUGUCCGAACGGCAUUCGCCCUCCCUAUGAAAUGACGCACUUCCUGCCUGAGGCGGCCGCUGUUCUCACGGUUUCCAGCAGGUGGCGCUGGGACCACGGAAAGCCGGCGCGGCGGUCGGUUAGCCCUCGAGCAUUCUGGGAAUUGCAGGCGUGGCCCCUCCUUUUCCUGUUCUCCUUGGUCAGUUCCGGUCUUGUUUCGCCAACAAAUGCCGCGGUUCCGGGGCUGUUUCCGAGCCGGACGCCAGGGCCGCGGUGUCCUGGAGUAGAGAGGCGGACGCAUGCGCACAAGACUACACGUCCCGACAGGCGUCGGGAGCGGCGGCCCAGUGCCUUGUGGGAGGUGUAG
rnacentral:lncRNA from 1 species